rnacentral:misc_RNA from 1 species
GCAUCGAUGAAGAACGCAGCGAAAUGCGAUACUUGGUGUGAAUUGCAGAAUCCCGUGAACCAUCGAGUCUUUGAACGCAAGUUGCGCCCCAAGCCUUCUGGCCGAGGGCACGUCUGCCUGGGUGUCACAAAUCGUCGUCCCCCCUCCAAUCCUCUCGAGGAUAUACAGAGGGACGGAAGCUGGUCUCCCGUGUGUUACCGCACGCGGUUGGCCAAAAUCCGAGCCAAGGACGCCGAGAGCGUCUCGACAUGCGGUGGUGAAAACAAAGCCUCUUCAUAUCGUCGGGUCGCUCUUGUCCGGAAGCUCUAGAUGACCCCGAGUCCUCAACGCGACCCCAGGUCAGGCGGGAUCACCCGCUGAGUUUAAGCAUAUCAAUAAGCGGAGGA